UUAGGGAUAAGGGGUGCCACCAUCCGGUGGCCGCAGAGAAUAGGCCCAAGCGACUGUUUACCAAAAACAUAGGUUUCUGCUAAGUCGCAAGACGAUGUAUAGGAGCUGACGCCUGCCCGGUGCUGGACGGUUAAGGGGAUCUGUUAGAGCAAUCGAAGCAGUGAACUUAAGCCCCAGUAAACGGCGGCCGUAACUAUAACGGUCCUAAGGUAGCGAAAUUCCUUGUCGGGUAAGUUCCGACCCGCACGAAAGGCGUAA
rnacentral:rRNA from 1 species